AACGAACGCUGGCGGCAUGCCUAACACAUGCAAGUCGAACGAGACCUUCGUGUCUAGUUGCGCACGGGUGCGUAACGCGUGGGAACCUGCCCUUAGGUUCGGAAUAACUCCCCGAAAGGGGUGCUAAUACCGGAUAAUGUCUUCGGACCAAAGAUUUAUCGCCUUUGGAUGGGCCCGCGUUGGAUUAGCUAGUUGGUAGGGUAAAAGCCUACCAAGGCGACGAUCCAUAGCUGGUCUGAGAGGAUGAUCAGCCACACUGGGACUGAGACACGGCCCAGAAUACUACGGGAGGGAGCAGUGGGGAAUAUUGGACAAUGGGCGAAAGCAUGAUCCAGCAAUGCCGCGUGAGUGAUGAAGGCCUUAGGGUUGUAAAGCUCUUUUACCCGGGAUGAUAAUGACAGUACCGGGAGAAUAAGCACCGGCUAACUCCGUG
rnacentral:rRNA from 1 species